GAUGAACGCUGGCGGCGUGCCUAAUACACGCCAGUCGAGCGAACAGACGAGGAGCUUGCUCCUCUGACGUUAGCGGCGGACGGGUGAGUAACACGUGGAUAACCUACCUAUAAGACUGGGGUAACUUCGGGAAACCGGAGCUAAUACCGGAUAAUAUAUUGAACCGCAUGGUUCAAUAGUGAAAGACGGUUUUGCUGUCACUUAUAGAUGGAUCCGCGCCGCAUUAGCUAGUUGGUAAGGUAACGGCUUACCAAGGCAACGAUGCGUAGCCGACCUGAGAGGGUGAUCGGCCACACUGGAACUGAGACACGGUCCAGACUCCUACGGGAGGCAGCAGUAGGGAAUCUUCCGCAAUGGGCGAAAGCCUGACGGAGCAACGCCGCGUGAGUGAUGAAGGUCUUCGGAUCGUAAAACUCUGUUAUUAGGGAAGAACAAAUGUGUAAGUAACUAUGCACGUCUUGACGGUACCUAAUCAGAAAGCCACGGCUAACUACGUG
rnacentral:rRNA from 1 species